ACCAUUUGAUUUGUUUUUGCGGUUAAUUGAUUUUCAAGUCGCUUUAGGAAGAAAAUAUGGUUUACGGACUCAGUCUUCGCAAUCAAUUUUAGGUUGUUUCGGUGUAUCUUAUAUAUUUUUUUUACGAUCAUUAAUGUUUAUUCGUAAGGUUGCAAUGUACCUAAUAACCAGUGGUCUCUGUGCAAAGCUCUAAAGCCUUGACAGAGCAUAAACCUUUACAUUUAUGUAAAAACCUCAGUUUUAUAUCUCGAUGUAGUUUUGAAUCUCGAAGAGAAAAAAUGAUAUUAUAAACAAGGCCUUGUUAACCAACACAU